UUUUGCGGAAAAUUGGUUACUAUGGUAACUUGUUUGAAAGGCCUACAUUCUGGCGGUGUCAAAUAUCAACAUGUCUGGGUGGGUCCGGAAACAGCUUCAAACAGGUUUAGUUCAUACCUGACGACCACACCUGAAAAACGACGAAAUAAUAUUUCAUAUUCGUGAAGUGAAGAUACCGAGAAUAAAGGACAAACUGCACAUUGCACCCAAAGUUUUUUUAUGACACAAUUCCAAAUUUUGGGGAGCCAGAGCUAUAGCCAGAGGGGGGACCAAGCUUGUUGACACGGGGGCACUGGCCCCCCUCGCCAGAGAAACAGUUUGUAGAAAGCAGUUAACAUGGGGUGUUCUGGUUUGAAACACUGCAAAGUGGCCCUGGGCUUUGCUAUUAUUUUUGACAUUUUUGGCUUUACGGCCCUGUUUCUGGGGCUCUUUGUGCCACUGGAAAUGAAGGGGAGAGAUUUCGGCGACCUUCUUGUGUACACUGGGGCACUCUUGGUACUGAUAUCUCUUGGCGGUUGGGUCAUGUGGUACAGCGGCAACAUUGAGGGUAUGACAACACAGAAGGAUCUGAGGGGAAUCGGCAAUGCCGUGGAUCACUUGGCCCGCAGCCUCAGCAAGAAAAUAUAUACUCAUCGUGUCCACAGAGAGCCCUAACUUUUUGACAGUGGUGCUGUUUGGUAGUUUUAUUUCUAAUUUCUGUUUUUUUACAUUUAAAAAAGUACCUAAUUGUUGUGCCUGACAGAUUAAAUACAGAGAUUUAAAGGAGAAAAAUUGUAUUAUCAAAUUAAGUAUUCUGACCUUACACCUUGCUUAGGUAAACUGCCUGGAAACAGACUGCAAUAAAUAUUUGAAUAAUUCAAGUUUGCUUUUUUAAUAUAAAGAUUAGAUUUAAUAUAAUACUACUACUGUAGUUUGUUCCGUUACUGUAACAAGUAAUUAAAAACGAAACAAAUUGUUACAAUUUUACUUUAAUGUAGCACAAUGCAUUUUUACCAUUUAUUUUUAUUUACCGUUGUUUUUGGCAAUUUAUGGCCAAGAGCAGUGUUUUACUUUCUUUAAAGUGUGUUUUAGUUAUCUUUUUUUUUUCAAUAAACAUUUCAACAAAAUGUAUAUGAUCUUAACUGAUAUUUGGCAAAUUGUCAGUAUUGUUUUAUAUUAAGUGAAAAUGAUGAAUGGCCUACUAAGAAUAUUGUGAUCCACUGGAAGACGAUAUUUGCAGUACUUCGUAUGAUCUCUAGGUGGAGACACACUUGAACCUUUCAUGUUCUGUCAAGAGUUUCUAGCGGUCACAUUUUUACAUGAUU